UACGGAGGGUGCGAGCGUUGUCCGGAAUCAUUGGGCGUAAAGGGCGCGUAGGUGGCUUCUUAAGCGUGCGGUGAAAGCCUGGGGCUCAACCCCGGGUCGGCCGUGCGAACUGGGGGGCUGGAGCACUGUAGAGGCAGGCGGAAUUCCGGGUGUAGCGGUGGAAUGCGUAGAGAUCCGGAAGAACACCAGUGGCGAAGGCGGCCCGCUGGGCAGUGGCUGACGCUGAGGCGCGACAGCGUGGGGAGCGAACAGG
rnacentral:rRNA from 1 species